AGUGAACGCUGGCGGCAUGCCUAACACAUGCAAGUCGAACGCUAACACAGUAUGAUCGUGCCCUCAGGGGGGGCGAGUGACGGGCGAGUGACGCGUACAGCGGCUUCUUCUUUUCGGGGGGGGAUAACGUAGGACAACUUAUGAUACUACCUCAUACCUUUAACGAGAGAAAUCAGGUGUGAAAGGUACAUUUGCCGCACGAAUGAGCGGAUGCCCGAUUAGUUAGUUGGCUGGGUAAAGGCCGACCAAGGCGACGAUCCGUAGCUGGCCUGAGAGGAUGAUCAGCCACACUGGAACUGAGACACGGUCCAGACUCCUACGGGAGGCAGCAGUGGGGAAUAUUGGACAAUGGGCGCAAGCCUGAUCCAGCCAUACCGCGUGGGUGAAGAAGGCCUUCGGGUUGUAAAGCCCUUUUGUUGGGAAAGAAAAGCAGCAGGUUAAUACCCCGCUGUUCUGACGGUACCCAAAGAAUAAGCACCGGCUAACUUCGUG
rnacentral:rRNA from 1 species